rnacentral:rRNA from 1 species
AUUGAACGCUGGCGGCAUGCUUUACACAUGCAAGUCGAACGGCAGCGCGGGCUUCGGCCUGGCGGCGAGUGGCGAACGGGUGAGUAAUACAUCGGAACGUGCCCCGUAGUGGGGGAUAGCUCGGCGAAAGCCGGAUUAAUACCGCAUACGACCUGAGGGUGAAAGCGGGGGAUCUUCGGACCUCGCGCUCUUGGAGCGGCCGAUGGGAGAUUAGCUAGUUGGUGGGGUAAAGGCCUACCAAGGGGACGAUCUGCAGCUGGUCUGAGAGGACGACCAGCCACACUGGGACUGAGACGCGGCCCAGACUCCUACGGGAGGCAGCAGUGGGGAAUUUUGGACAAUGGGCGAAAGCCUGAUCCAGCAAUGCCGCGUGUGUGAUGAAGGCCUUCGGGUUGUAAAGCACUUUUGGCGGGAACGAAAAGGACUGUGCCAAUACCACGGUUCGAUGACGGUACCCGCAGAAUAAGCACCGGCUAACUACGUG